rnacentral:rRNA from 1 species
GACAGAGGGUGCGAACGUUGCUCGGAAUUACUGGGCGUAAAGCGCGUGUAGGCGGGCGUUCAAGUCAGGUGUGAAAUCCCCGGGCUCAACCCGGGAACUGCAUCUGAAACUGGACGCCUCGAGUGUCGGAGAGGGAAGCGGAAUUCCUGGUGUAGAGGUGAAAUUCGUAGAUAUCAGGAGGAACACCGGUGGCGAAGGCGGCUUCCUGGACGACUACUGACGCUGAGACGCGAAAGCGUGGGGAGCAAACAGG